GGGCGGGAUGCUGGUGCAGAAGCGGGGCGCCGAGGAGGACGAGCCGGCGCCGGCGAGCGUGAAGCCCGUGCCCACCAUCCGGGUCAAGGCCAAGCUCGCCGGCAAGACCCACGAGAUCUACAUCACCGCGGAGGCCACGUUUGGCGACCUGCGGAAGCUGGUGGCGGAGCGCGCCGGCGCGCACCCGGAGGACCUGCGGACGCUGUACAAGGGCAAGGAGCAGGACCCCAAGGCGUUCCUCGACAUGGCCGGCGUCAGGGACCGCUCCAAGGUCGCCGUCGUCGACGACCCCGAGGCCCGCGCGCGCCGGCUGCUCGAGGAGCUCCGCCUCGGCAGCCUCCG
rnacentral:lncRNA from 1 species